rfam:Blochmannia endosymbiont of Camponotus (Colobopsis) obliquus strain 757, complete genome.
AUAAUAAUAACAAUUAUACUAUAUUUUAUUGGAGUAGAAUAAGUGGUACGAAUAGCAGGCAUAAACAUUCCUGAU